ACCCCGCUGGACCUGCCAGAGCUCCUGUUCUGGUCCUGGGACAUUCUCUGGCUCCUCUCCUGCGGCGCUAAUGAGGACGGUUACACAAGCAGCGUUCACGCUCCACUGUUCAGGAAAACACCAGGCGCACGCAGCCGGGACCGCGCAGGCGAAGAGCUUCGCCAAACCGUGAAGCGAGAGGUAAAUGGAUGGUGCAGGACUUUCCCGGCGCUGCAGCUCUGACGGGGGGAGGGAGGGGGCGGCUGCAGAUGUAACAGCAUUUGAAUAAUCUCUCCAGGAAUGAAAAACGGAUUAAUCCCUGCAGAAGGAUCCUGAGCAUGAAUGCAGCAAGACGGAGGCCAAACAGAACAAAAAGCGAUCAAAGGAGAAGCUGUCCUCAAUCAGUCAAGCCGAUCCAGAACCGUCCGGCUCGGCUCUGCAGAACCACACAAAGAGAACGCUCAGAAAAUGCUGCUGCUGGGAUGAUCCAACCGCCUCCGCAGGUUUGAGCGUUCACACAUCCGACUGCAAAAAGCUGCGACCGAUGGACGGGACCGUGACCCUGGUGACACCGGAGCCGAGCGUUCCUGAGCAUCUGACAGGACGUCUGAACACAAACGAUCAGAACUGGAGCUGCAGCGAUCAAUGCGGCACAUGACCGGUCAGGCAGCGAGGCCGUCAUUCUGUUUCCCUCCUGUUUGUGUCUGAGAGCAUUUAGCUCUUUGUUAACGGUCUGCUGUCAGUUUAAAUAAAGUUAUGUGUCUGGUUUAGUUAAAAAACGAUAAAACAUCUAACCAAAACUUGAAGAGUUUCCAGAUUUCUCCGGUCUUCCUGCACGUCUUCAUGCAGCUGCAGCAGCAGCAGUGACCCGGUCCAAAGUGCACGGCCCACGUGCACGAGGUUCUGGUUCUACUGGAGCAUGUUUGAUUUAAACUAAGCUGACAGAACUACAACAGAAACCACAGCGAUGAGCAGCAGGUGGAUGCAACAGGUUGUUCAAUAAAUAAAUAUUAAAACUGA